GAUCAUUGUCGAACUUGCUUCAUGCAAAAACGGUGUUUGGUCAUGCUAGAGCAAUCUUGCUGGGCGGGGUGCUGUGGGAGUUUCCGGGCUCGCUUCCUCGGGAGUGGGCUCGGACACGAGUUGAAUCUAAUCUAACUUAGAACAACUCUCAGCAACGGAUAUCUUGGCUCUUGCAACGAUGAAGAACGCAGCGAAAUGCGAUACGUAGUGUGAAUUGCAGAAUUCCGCGAAUCAUCGAGUUUUUGAACGCAAGUUGCGCCCGAGGCUUGUCCGAGGGCAUUUCCGCUAGAGCGUCACCGCGCCCCCCCACCAGACUCCCUUGCGUUGGAGUUUUGAGUGGAACUGGCCGUCCCGGAGUGUGCUAAUACUCGGGUCGGCUGAAAUGGAGGGAAUUUGGCCGCCGUGGCAUCACUCGCCCCGCGAUCAGGUGCGAUUUCGAACUCCCACGACACUUGGUGUCGUGGGGGACUUGGGUCUUCCAAGUGCGGGGCUCCCAAGUGGUGAGCCCGAGUGCGCGUGCCCGAGUUCCACAGCAGGCUACCUCUUUUACAUACUUGGGGCCUUCCACUCCGAGUGGAGGGCACCGGAACGAAAGAGGAAACACGAAGAGGUAACGCAUCAGACCUCUAAUCGGAAAAGACUACCCGCCGAG
rnacentral:rRNA from 1 species